rnacentral:RNase_P_RNA from 1 species
UGAGUGGACUAGGGCGUCGCUGCUUCACCGCAGAGGAAAGUCCGGGCUCCGCAGGGCAGUGAGCCUGCUAACGGCAGGGCGGGGCGACCCGACGGAAAGUGCAACAGAGAACAAACCGCCGAUGGCUCUUCGGAGAUCAGGCAAGGGUGAAACGGUGGGGUAAGAGCCCACCGCCGGCUUGGUAACAAGGCGGGCACGGCAAACCCCUCACGGAGCAAGACCAAAUAGGCUGGCGCACUCCCGCGAGGGAGCGAGGAUCGGCCCGAUCGAGCCAGCGGGUAAGUUGCUAGAGGUGGGUGGCGACAUCCAUCCCAGAGGAAUGACGCUCCACGACAGAACCCGGCUUACCGGUCCACCACGGC